rnacentral:tRNA from 1 species
UGGCUCAGAUGGUAAAGCAUCUGUCUGUAAUGCGGAAGACCUGGGUUCGAUUCCUGG